rnacentral:rRNA from 1 species
UUAAGCGACUAAGCGUACACGGUGGAUGCCCUGGCAGUCAGAGGCGAUGAAGGACGUGCUAAUCUGCGAAAAGCGUCGGUAAGGUGAUAUGAACCGUUAUAGCCGGCGAUGUCCGAAUGGGGAAACCCAGUGCAAUUCGUUGCACUAUCGUUAACUGAAUACAUAGGUUAACGAGGCGAACCGGGGGAACUGAAACAUCUAAGUACCCCGAGGAAAAGAAAUCAACCGAGAUUCCCCCAGUAGCGGCGAGCGAACGGGGAGCAGCCCAGAGUCUGAAUCAGCUUGUGUGUUAGUGGAACGGUCUGGAAAGUCCGACGGUACAGGGUGAUAGUCCCGUACACCAAAAUGCACAGGCUGUGAACUCGAAGAGUAGGGCGGGACACGUGGUAUCCUGUCUGAAUAUGGGGGGACCAUCCUCCAAGGCUAAAUACUCCUGACUGACCGAUAGUGAACCAGUACCGUGAGGGAAAGGCGAAAAGAACCCCGGCGAGGGGAGUGAAAAAGAACCUGAAACCGUGUACGUACAAGCAGUGGGAGCACCUUCGGGUGUGACUGCGUACCUUUUGUAUAAUGGGUCAGCGACUUAUAUUCUGUAGCAAGGUUAACCGUAUAGGGGAGCCGCAGGGAAACCGAGUCUUAACUGGGCGUUAAGUUGCAGGGUAUAGACCCGAAACCCGGUGAUCUAGCCAUGGGCAGGUUGAAGGUUGGGUAACACUAACUGGAGGACCGAACCGACUAAUGUUGAAAAAUUAGCGGAUGACUUGUGGCUGGGGGUGAAAGGCCAAUCAAACCGGGAGAUAGCUGGUUCUCCCCGAAAGCUAUUUAGGUAGCGCCUCGUGAAUUCAUCUUCGGGGGUAGAGCACUGUUUCGGCUAGGGGGUCAUCCCGACUUACCAACCCGAUGCAAACUACGAAUACCGAAGAAUGUUAUCACGGGAGACACACGGCGGGUGCUAACGUCCGUCGUGAAGAGGGAAACAACCCAGACCGCCAGCUAAGGUCCCAAAGUCAUGGUUAAGUGGGAAACGAUGUGGGAAGGCACAGACAGCCAGGAUGUUGGCUUAGAAGCAGCCAUCAUUUAAAGAAAGCGUAAUAGCUCACUGGUCGAGUCGGCCUGCGCGGAAGAUGUAACGGGGCUAAACCAUGCACCGAAGCUGCGGCAGCGACACGAUGUGUUGUUGGGUAGGGGAGCGUUCUGUAAGCCUGCGAAGGUGUGCUGUGAGGCAUGCUGGAGGUAUCAGAAGUGCGAAUGCUGACAUAAGUAACGAUAAAGCGGGUGAAAAGCCCGCUCGCCGGAAGACCAAGGGUUCCUGUCCAACGUUAAUCGGGGCAGGGUGAGUCGACCCCUAAGGCGAGGCCGAAAGGCGUAGUCGAUGGGAAACAGGUUAAUAUUCCUGUACUUGGUGUUACUGCGAAGGGGGGACGGAGAAGGCUAUGUUAGCCGGGCGACGGUUGUCCCGGUUUAAGCAUGUAGGCUGGUUAUCCAGGCAAAUCCGGAUAAUCAAGGCUGAGGUGUGAUGACGAGGCACUACGGUGCUGAAGUAACAAAUGCCCUGCUUCCAGGAAAAGCCUCUAAGCAUCAGGUAACAUCAAAUCGUACCCCAAACCGACACAGGUGGUCAGGUAGAGAAUACCAAGGCGCUUGAGAGAACUCGGGUGAAGGAACUAGGCAAAAUGGUGCCGUAACUUCGGGAGAAGGCACGCUGGUGUGUAGGUGAAGUCCCUGCGGAUGGAGCUGAGACCAGUCGAAGAUACCAGCUGGCUGCAACUGUUUAUUAAAAACACAGCACUGUGCAAACACGAAAGUGGACGUAUACGGUGUGACGCCUGCCCGGUGCCGGAAGGUUAAUUGAUGGGGUUAUCCGUAAGGAGAAGCUCUUGAUCGAAGCCCCGGUAAACGGCGGCCGUAACUAUAACGGUCCUAAGGUAGCGAAAUUCCUUGUCGGGUAAGUUCCGACCUGCACGAAUGGCGUAAUGAUGGCCAGGCUGUCUCCACCCGAGACUCAGUGAAAUUGAACUCGCUGUGAAGAUGCAGUGUACCCGCGGCAAGACGGAAAGACCCCGUGAACCUUUACUAUAGCUUGACACUGAACAUUGAGCCUUGAUGUGUAGGAUAGGUGGGAGGCUUUGAAGCGUGGACGCCAGUCUGCGUGGAGCCAACCUUGAAAUACCACCCUUUAAUGUUUGAUGUUCUAACGUUGGCCCCUUACCGGGGUUGCGGACAGUGUCUGGUGGGUAGUUUGACUGGGGCGGUCUCCUCCCAAAGCGUAACGGAGGAGCACGAAGGUUAGCUAAUCCUGGUCGGACAUCAGGAGGUUAGUGCAAUGGCAUAAGCUAGCUUGACUGCGAGCGUGACGGCGCGAGCAGGUGCGAAAGCAGGUCAUAGUGAUCCGGUGGUUCUGAAUGGAAGGGCCAUCGCUCAACGGAUAAAAGGUACUCCGGGGAUAACAGGCUGAUACCGCCCAAGAGUUCAUAUCGACGGCGGUGUUUGGCACCUCGAUGUCGGCUCAUCACAUCCUGGGGCUGAAGUAGGUCCCAAGGGUAUGGCUGUUCGCCAUUUAAAGUGGUACGCGAGCUGGGUUUAGAACGUCGUGAGACAGUUCGGUCCCUAUCUGCCGUGGGCGCUGGAGAAUUGAGGGGGGCUGCUCCUAGUACGAGAGGACCGGAGUGGACGCAUCACUGGUGUUCGGGUUGUCAUGCCAAUGGCACUGCCCGGUAGCUAAAUGCGGAAGAGAUAAGUGCUGAAAGCAUCUAAGCACGAAACUUGCCCCGAGAUGAGUUCUCCCUGAGACUUUAAGUCUCCUGAAGGAACGUUGAAGACGACGACGUUGAUAGGCCGGGUGUGUAAGCGCAGCGAUGCGUUGAGCUAACCGGUACUAAUGAACCGUGAGGCUUAACCUU